GAAAAACCAUACAAAUGUAGUAAAUGUGGCAAAUACUUUACCCAAAAAGGAAGUCUUAUAAUUCAUCAGAGAAUUCAUACAGGAGAGAAACCUUACAAAUGUAGUGAAUGUGACAAGUACUUUACCCGAAAAAGCAGUCUUAAUGUGCACCAGAGAGUUCAUACAGGAGAGAAACCUUACAAAUGUAGUGAAUGUGACAAAUGCUUUUCCCAUAAAGGUGAUCUUAGAAAACAUCAGAGAAUUCAUACAGGAGAAAGAACCUUACAGAUAUGAAUGUAACAUGUGCUUUACCUAAAAAUUCAAUUGUCAUCUUCAUUAGAGAAUUCAUACAGGAGAGAAGCCUUACAAAUAUAGUGAAUGUGACAAAUGCUUUACCUGCAAAAGCAGUCUUAAAAUUCAUCAGAGAAUUCAUGCAGAAAAAAAUCUUAAAAAUAUAAUGAAUAUGACAAAUGCUUUAGCCAAAAACAGUCACUUAUCAGAGAAUGCAUACAGUAGACACCUUCACAAAUGAAGUGAAUGAAAAAAAUCCAUUCCCAAAGAAAACCAUCUUAGAAUUCAUCAGAGACUACAUAUAGGAGAAGGAACUUAUAUAUAUAGUAAAUGUUCAUAUCCUUCAGUGUUGGUUCACCACUUAAAAUACAUCAAAGAAUGCAUUCAGGAUUAAAAAAAAAAAACUUACGAAUUUGAUAUAUGAGGAAAGGUCUUUACCCAAAUCUCAGACCUAAGAAAAUACCUGCUUAUUUAUAUUCAGAAAAAAAGCGUCCACUGGAAAAACUAUGGCAUGUGCUUUAUUCCAGCGGUAUUGUUGGCAACACUUGAAGCUCCACACUAGAGAAUUAUUAUAUAUGUGAGGAAGUUGGGAAAACAUUUAAGUAAUCCUCAAAUCUUAGGAGCGACCCAGCAUUUAUGCUCAGAGAAAUGGAAAAUACAGCAAUGAAGGAAAUCUUUCAUUAAAAGUUUUUACUUGUUCACUUUUAAAUAUGUCAUGAUGGAGAAGCUUAAAGCAUAUGGAGUUUUAUAAACUUUCCUGGAGACUGAAUUGAUCUACUUCAAAGAGAAGCUACGAAAUACAUGCCUCAAAAUAGCUAAUGAAACUGACAGCAUUCUAUAUGUUUAACUCAAAUGAACAUACUCAAAUUAUACUUCUUAAAAGAGGAUUUGACAAACUGAGCCACAAAGAUAGGGUGCUCUUUAUCCUGUAGAGAUGCCUACAUGUAUGAGGUUUGUUACCAGUGUCCAGUAUUCAUUAUCUGUAUCUUAUGCUGCUUUUCAGUUUCAGGAUAGCAAUUGUCUUUGAGUCCCUCGUGCUCUCAUUUACUAACUGCUUCCCCUAAGUCCUGUGUGUAACAACAAUAACUCUCAUUGGUUUAACGAGUUGAACUUGGUUGUUGCCAUUUUCCACUUGGGAUGGGUAGAUGAAUAUAUAUGUGGCAUCUCCCAGAAAAUAUCUCUGGCAAAAGUGUGCUGAACACAUUAAUAUUUUCUGCAAACUUGCAACAUAAAAUGAAUAGUAGAGCAAUGUUUUAAAGCUUGGGUAGCAACACCUUUGAGGGUGGAAUGAACUUCUCAGAGGGGUUGCUAAAAACCAUAAGAAAAUGUCUUUUCAGUGGUCUCAGGAGUGAGACACCCUUCUUUUGUCUUCACGAGAGUCUGCUUGCAUAAGAGUACUUUAAAUGAUAUGAAAGUGAUGUAGCAUUAGGAGAGUUGGAGCCAGUGUUCUAAAGAGAAUGCAUUUGUGUUAAAUAAAAUAGGGAAGAUGUU
rnacentral:lncRNA from 1 species